rnacentral:rRNA from 1 species
CGAGAAUAUUAUUAUUAGACGAGAAGACCCCAUGGAGCUUUAAACUCAUUACCANUUACUUAACCACUAAACCAUAAUAUGUAGUAAAAAUGUUCUUAAUANUUUUCGGCUGGGGUGGCCCUGGAGUAAAACAAAUCCUCCAGAAUGAACGGAAUAAAGCCCUAAUCUAAGAAUUACAGCUCAAAGAAUCAAAAACUGACAUUAUUGAUCCAAUUAAUUGAUUAACGAAACAAGUUACCCUGGGGAUAACAGCGCAAUCCAUUUUGAGAGCCCCUAUCAACAAAUGGGUUUACNACCUCGAUGUUGGAUCGGGGUAUCCCGGUGGCGCAGCCGCUACUAAUGGUUCGUUUGUUCAACGAUUAAUAACCCCACGUGAUCUGAGUUCAAACNGG